rnacentral:rRNA from 1 species
GAUGAACGCUGGCGGCGUGCCUAAUACAUGCCAGUCGAGCGAACAGACGAGGAGCUUGCUCCUCUGACGUUAGCGGCGGACGGGUGAGUAACACGUGGAUAACCUACCUAUAAGACUGGGAUAACUUCGGGAAACCGGAGCUAAUACCGGAUAAUAUAUUGAACCGCAUGGUUCAAUAGUGAAAGACGGUUUUGCUGUCACUUAUAGAUGGAUCCGCGCCGCAUUAGCUAGUUGGUAAGGUAACGGCUUACCAAGGCAACGAUGCGUAGCCGACCUGAGAGGGUGAUCGGCCACACUGGAACUGAGACACGGUCCAGACUCCUACGAGAGGCAGCAGUAGGGAAUCUUCCGCAAUGGGCGAAAGCCUGACGGAGCAACGCCGCGUGAGUGAUGAAGGUCUUCGGAUCGUAAAACUCUGUUAUUAGGGAAGAACAAAUGUGUAAGUAACUAUGCACGUCUUGACGGUACCUAAUCAGAAAGCCACGGCUAACUACGUG